AUCUUCUUCCGCAACAGUGCUAGCAGCUGCAGAACAUUUGAAAGCUGAAAUCUGCCCGCCGGGAUUCAAUCAACUCUUGAUCAAUCGUCUUGAAGCAGAUAGAGAUGAGGUUUGUAAGGAAAGUAGAGGACUCAGAUCUGAUCUUGAAUCUUCUAGAUAUUCACCCUGAAAACCCUAUCUAAAAUGGAGAAGAAGAGGAGGAGGAGGCGGGUGAGGAAGAAGGCUGCAAUGGAUG
rnacentral:lncRNA from 1 species